rnacentral:rRNA from 1 species
CUACCGGGGUAUCUAAUCCUGUUUGCUCCCCACGCUUUCGCGCCUCAGCGUCAGUUCCGGUCCAGGUAGCCGCCUUCGCCACUGGUGUUCCUCCCAGUAUCUACGCAUUUCACCGCUACACUGGGAAUUCCACUACCCUCUCCCGGACUCUAGCCUGGCAGUUUCGAAGGCAGUUCCCCGGUUGAGCCGGGGGAUUUCACCUUCGACUUGCCAAGCCGCCUACGCGCCCUUUACGCCCAAUGAUUCCGAAUAACGCUUGCCCCCUCCGUAUUACCGCGGCUGCUGGCAC